AGCCUUAAGUGUUAUUUUAUUUAAGGUAAAACCUGCCCAGUGCGACAAGUAAACGGCCGCAGUACCUUGACUGUGCUAAGGUAGCAUAAUCAGUUGGCUUUUAAAUGGAGUCGGGUAUGAAUGGGAUAAUGUGGCUAAGCUGUCUUUUCUUUACUACAUUUAAUUUACUUACCAGGUGAAAAUUCCUGGCUUGAAGAAAACAGACGAGAAGACCCUUGGAGUUUUAAUUAAUGUUUUAUUAAUUUUAAUAGCUAAUAUUUUUGUUGGGGCGACAGAAGGAAAAAUAAAUUGAUCUCCUUUUAAGAAUAAGCCGACUACGUAAGAAAAUUUAAACUACCCUAGGGAUAACAGCGUAAUCUUUUAUUAGGUUUGCGACCUCGAUGUUGGACUAGGAGUUGUUUAGGUUAGCCGCCUGAAUUAAUUGUUCUGUUCGAACUUUACUUCCU
rnacentral:rRNA from 1 species